rnacentral:rRNA from 1 species
CCUACGGGCGGCAGCAGUGAGGAAUAUUGGUCAAUGGCCGUAAGGCUGAACCAGCCAAGUCGCGUGAAGGAAGAAGGAUCUAUGGUUUGUAAACUUCUUUUAUAGGGGAAUAAAGGUAUCCACGUGUGGAUAUUUGCAUGUACCCUAUGAAUAAGCAUCGGCUAACUCCGUGCCAGCAGCCGCGGUAAUACGGAGGAUUCAAGCGUUAUCCGGAUUUAUUGGGUUUAAAGGGUGCGUAGGCGGUCGGAUAAGUUAGAGGUGAAAUCCCGAGGCUCAACUUCGGAAUUGCCUCUGAUACUGUUCGGCUAGAGAGUAGUUGCGGUAGGCGGAAUGUAUGGUGUAGCGGUGAAAUGCUUAGAUAUCACGAAGAACUCCGAUUGCGAAGGCAGCUUACUAAACUGCCACUGACAUUGAUGCUCGAAAGUGUGGGUAUCAAACAGGAUUAGAUACCCCUGUAGUC